rnacentral:tRNA from 1 species
GUCUCUGUGGUGCAAUUGGCUGGUGCUUUCGGCUGUUAACCGAAAGGUUGGUGGUUCAAGCCCACCCAGGGAUG